rnacentral:rRNA from 1 species
UGGGGAAUAUUGGACAAUGGGGGGAACCCUGAUCCAGCCAUGCCGCGUGUGUGAAGAAGGCCUUAUGGUUGUAAAGCACUUUAAGCGAGGAGGAGGGUACUGGUAUUAAUACUACCAGGUACUGGACGUUACUCGCAGAAUAAGCACCGGCUAACUCUGUGCCAGCAGCCGCGGUAAUACAGAGGGUGCGAGCGUUAAUCGGAUUUACUGGGCGUAAAGCGUGCGUAGGCGGCUAAUUGAGUCGGAUGUGAAAUCCCCGAGCUUAACUUGGGAAUUGCAUUCGAUACUGGUAGCUAGAGUGUGGGAGAGGAUGGUAGAAUUCCAGGUGUAGCGGUGAAAUGCGUAGAGAUCUGGAGGAAUACCGAUGGCGAAGGCAGCCAUCUGGCCUAACACUGACGCUGAGGUACGAAAGCAUGGGGAGCAAACAGG